UACAGAGGGUGCGAGCGUUGUCCGGAAUCACUGGGCGUAAAGGGCGCGUAGGUGGCCCGACAAGUCCGUGGUGAAAGCUCGACGCUCAACGUCGAGUCGGCCAUGGAUACUGUUGGGCUGGAGCACUGUAGAGGCUCAUGGAAUUCCGGGUGUAGCGGUGGAAUGCGUAGAGAUCCGGAGGAACACCGGUGGCGAAGGCGGGUCUCUGGGCAGUAACUGACGCUGAGGAGCGAAAGCGUGGGGAGCGAACAGG
rnacentral:rRNA from 1 species